CGAACGCUGGCGGCGUGCCUAAUACAUGCAAGUAGACCGCUGAAGAGAGGAGCUUGCUCUUCUUGGAUGAGUUGCGAACGGGUGAGUAACGCGUAGGUAACCUGCCUUGUAGCGGGGGAUAACUAUUGGAAACGAUAGCUAAUACCGCAUAACAAUGGAUGACACAUGUCAUUUAUUUGAAAGGGGCAAUUGCUCCACUACAAGAUGGACCUGCGUUGUAUUAGCUAGUAGGUGAGGUAAUGGCUCACCUAGGCGACGAUACAUAGCCGACCUGAGAGGGUGAUCGGCCACACUGGGACUGAGACACGGCCCAGACUCCUACGGGAGGCAGCAGUAGGGAAUCUUCGGCAAUGGGGGCAACCCUGACCGAGCAACGCCGCGUGAGUGAAGAAGGUUUUCGGAUCGUAAAGCUCUGUUGUAAGUCAAGAACGGGUGUGAGAGUGGAAAGUUCACACUGUGACGGUAGCUUACCAGAAAGGGACGGCUAACUACGUG
rnacentral:rRNA from 1 species